AUUGAACGCUGGCGGCAGGCCUAACACAUGCAAGUCGAGCGGAGCGGCGGACGGGUGAGUAAUGCCUAGGAAUCUGCCUGGUAGUGGGGGAUCACGUCCGGGAACGGGCGCUAAUACCGCAUCCCAUCUGUUGAGCCUAGUUCGGGUUAGCUAGUUGGUGGGGUAAAGGCCUACCAAGGCGACGAUCCGUAACUCGUCUGAGAGGAUGAUCAGUCACACUGGAACUGAGACACGGUCCAGACUCCUACGGGAGGCAGCAGUGGUGAAUAUUGGACAAUGGGCGAAAGCCUGAUCCAGCCAUGCCGCGUGUGUGAAGAAGGUCUUCGGAUUGUAAAGCACUUUAAGUUGUGAGGCGUUACCAACAGAAUAAGCACCGGCUAACUUCGUGCCAGCAGCCGCGGUAAUUC
rnacentral:rRNA from 1 species